GCGCGGGGGCCUUUCUCCGCUGUGUCUCCGCCUGACGACGUCAGAGGCCCGGGGGGCGGGGCUGCAGCAGGGCGGCCGCGGGCCUGGGCGCAGCUUACGUGUCUCCGCGUCGGAAUUGAGAUGCUCAGACUCCGCAGGGCAAACCGAGCGUCCCGGCGUUCGCUCCCCCGCGCCUGCCGCUGUGGGGGGGCAGCUCGGGGCCCGGGGGUCCGCGGCCGCCCAGCUCGGGCCGGGACCCGCGCGUCGUUUUACCGACCCUCUUAGUUAAGCCCCUUGCCGUUGGGACGCCAGGACGAGGAUCGCACCGGCACCCCACGCCCGCAGUCAGGACCUGGUACCCGCCGCCGCGGCCCCCGUCAGCGCAGGAAGAUUGGUCCUGAGCUAACAUCUGUGGCAGUCUUCCUUUAUUUUGCAUGCGGGUCGCUGCCACUGCGUCUGCCCACGAGCGGUACAGGCCCAAACCUGGGACCGUGGCACCGAACUUAACUAGACCACAGCCGGCUCCCAUCAUCCAACUCUUUCGUAUUUCACUGAAAAAACUGUCAAUAUGCCAGACACGAGGGAUAAAGUGAGCAAAGCGUUGCUCUCUCUCGUGAAACACGUAAUUUUAGGCUCGUUCCAGCUGCUGUGAAAAAGAUUAUACCGUAGGAGAGCAAGCGGGGAGACGGAUUCUAAGCUACUGCAGCCACCUGCUCCAAGCAGGCAGUGGUGGUCACAAGUGCCGGAUGACCCAGGAUGUAUGUUCACGGUGUAACAGGUGGAUUUGCCUACAGACCAGACAGUGUGAAAAGAAAUCCAAGAUGAUAUCCAAGGUAUCUGCCCCGAGCAACAGGAUGAAUGUAGCCCAAUCAAGAGGUCAAUUGGGAAUACUCAUGACAUUCAAAGCGAUACUAUCAGUUUGUGUCCAGGACUCUGGGGCCUGGAGAUGUUUAAGAGGGACUAAAAUGCUGACAGUCGCCAGUCAUGAGAGUGGAUGAGAUCACCCAGGGAAGAAUCUUAGCUAGAGAUGAAGUCUGACAGGCCUGGAGAACUCCAGAAAGGAUGCUGAGCAGUGGCCAGUGAGAGGACACACGCAGAAUC